UACGUAGGGCGCAAGCGUUGUCCGGAAUUAUUGGGCGUAAAGAGCUCGUAGGCGGUUGUCGCGUCUGCUGUGAAAACCUAAGGCUCAACCUUGGGCUUGCAGUGGGUACGGGCAGACUAGAGUGCGGUAGGGGUGACUGGAAUUCCUGGUGUAGCGGUGGAAUGCGCGAGAUAUCAGGAGGAACACCGAUGGCGAAGGCAGGUCACUGGGCCGCAACUGACGC
rnacentral:rRNA from 1 species